CUCAUUUAUUGAGAGUUUGAUCCUGGCUCAGGAUUAACGUUGGCGGUGUGUCUAAGGCAUGCAAGUCGAGCGAUCGGCUCCGAUUCGUCGGAGUACGGAGCGGCAAACGGGUGAGUAACACAUUGGUAACCUACCUCUAAGAUGGGGAUAACUUCAGGAAACUGAAGCUAAUACCCAAUAGUCAUGGGAAGACAUAUGUCAUUCCCAUGUAAACCUCCGGGGCUUAGAGAGGGGCCUAUGGCUUAUCAGCUUGUUGGUAGGGUAAAAGCCUACCAAGGCAAUGACGAGUAGCAGGCGUGAGAGCGUGACCUGCCUCACUGGGACUGAGACACGGCCCAGACUCCUACGGGAGGCUGCAGUCAAGAAUAUUCCACAAUGCGCGAAAGCGUGAUGGAGCGACACCGCGUGCAGGAAGACGCCCUUCGGGGUGUAAACUGCUUUUAUAUGGGAAGAAUUUGUGACGGUACCAUAUGAAUAAGAGGUUGCUAACUCUGUGCCAGCAGCAGCGGUAAUACAGAGACCUCGAACGUUAUCCGGAUUCAUUGGGCGUAAAGCGUCCGCAGGUUGUUUUAUAAGUUGGUAGUUAAAUCUUUGUGCUUAACAUAAAGACCGCUACCAAUACUGUAAGACUAGAGGUUGGGAGAGGCAAGCGGAACUAUCGGUGUAGUCGUAAUAAGCGCUGAUAUCGAUAGGAACACCAAAGGCGAAGGCAGCUUGCUAGAACAAACCUGACACUCAUGGACGAAAGCGUGGGUAGCGAAUGGGAUUAGAUACCCCAGUAGUCCACGCCGUAAACGAUGCGCACUAGGUAUUGGGAGUUUCGACCCUCUCAGUGCCGUUUAAAAAAGCUAACGCGUUAAGUGCGCCGCCUGGGGAGUACGGCCGCAAGGUUAAAACUCAAAGGAAUAGACGGGGACCCGCACAAGCGGUGGAUCAUGUGGUUUAAUUCGAUGAUACGCGGCGAACCUUACCAAGGCUUGACAUAUAGCUGCACGCUCGAGGAAACUUGAGCAGCUUUCGAAGGUGCUAUACAGAUGUUGCAUGGUUGCCGUCAGCUCGUGCCGUGAGGUGUACCGUUAAGUCGGGUAACGAGCGCAACCCUCGUCGUAUGUUAAAUGUACAUACGAGACUGCCCGGGUAACCGGGAGGAAGGUGGGGAUGACGUCAAAUCAGCAUGACUCUUACGCCUUGGGCUACACACAUGAUACAAUGGCCAGUACAAAGAGUAGCGAAAUCGCAAGAUGAAGCCAAUCUCAAAAAGCUGGUCUCAGUUCGGAUUGUAGGCUGCAAUUCGCCUACAUGAAGUUGGAAUCGCUAGUAAUCGCGCAUCAGCCACGGCGCGAUGAAUACGUUCUCGGGUCUUGUACUCACCGCCCGUCAUACCACGAAAGUUGAUAGUGCCCGAAGGCCCUGUAUGGGGACGAAGGUAAGAUCAGCGAUCAGGGUAAAGUCGUAACAAGGCAUCCGUAGCGGAAGCUGUGGAUGGAUCACCUCCUUUCU
rnacentral:rRNA from 1 species